CGGCUGUCGAAAGAUGAUAAUUAUGUUUGCCGACUACGAGUCUUCAAAAAGUUGCUGCGGAAGAGAAAAAAUGCAACCCGAGCGGAGUCCUGGAGACGGCGCUGCGGACCACAACUCGCUGUUCCUGGUAUCAACUGGCGUGCUGGAGUGAUGAAGCGACGCUAAAGAAAAUGCGCCUGUCUCUCUUCAAGCCGGUGCACGUUGUCGAGGUUCUCAAGACGAGCUCGCUACGAAGCAAAGACGGCGGUGUACCGUACCGUGUGGCCGCGAGAAGACUGCUGAAAUAUUUCGAGCAGGGAGCUGACUACGGCACAACGAGGAAUUCGUCCUCUCGAGAGUAACUAAUGAUGAUUUGACAGAGUGAUGUUGCUUCUGCUGGGGUCUGGGAGCACCGUGAACAAAAUCGAACAAGUAGUUCUUUUCCAGCCGAUAAAUUAAUAGAUUACAUCGUGAACUGCUACACCGUGUCGUCACAGUGAUAUCGACGGUGUCAUGGCAACACAACAACAUCGUGUUCACAGAGUGAGGUUGCCUCUGGCGGUUCGGGAGCACCGGCAGCAAAGUCAUCCCAGACCAUGGACAGGAGCCGUCCAAGAUCGACCAAAUUUUGUCCUUUACCAGGUGGUGAAUUCCGCCUUGUACAGCUACAGCAAGACGCGUCGUCACAGCGGUUGUCAACUCGACACACACCUCAACUGUGACGGUACGACUGAGUGAUGUCCCUUCUCUGCGUGGAAAUGUGUAUAACUACUUCACCUGUCUCUCGGAUAAUGGCGCGGAUCCGGGAGCAAUUGUGGUAAAGGCACUUUUCACCAUGGUGAAGUGCUCAAGACAUUUACCGGGAUCCAGGUGAGAAAGACAGUCGGCGUAUUCUGGCCGCCGUGCGCUAAAUUUGCUAAGGCCUGUGAUUGCGAGCGGGGUGACAGCAAUGCAUGCAUAUUCAAUUAUAGACAUGAUGUGUUUUGUAAUUGAGAGAGUGAUUGAGUUGAUUUGAGCCUAUUCGUUCAUCCCCGAGUAAUCGUACAGUACCAUUUUUUUAAACAUGAAUAUCAACGGACUUUCCCCUUCUGUUCACGUCUUGCCCCGGCCUAGUAAUGGUUCGUGAAUCCGCCCAGUCCACUUUCCUUCUCUGUUCUUCCCUUUCAGUUGCAUCUUCCUUUCUGCUCAGUUUUACUUUCUCUUUUCGCUCGUCCCUCUUGAUAUUUGUACUUCGUACUGUUGAGGUAAAGAACUGAAAUAAUAAAAACCAAACCAAACCCCCAUUCUUCCCCUACACACAAAGCAGUGUAUAUUUUGAUCUAAUUUCAUCCCUUUUUGGUGUACAUAGCCGGCUACAUAUCCAAACCAAAUAACUAGGCGCCCCAUACAUAAGACUAGGUUCUACUUGA